rnacentral:rRNA from 1 species
GAUGAACGCUGGCGGCGUGCCUAAUACAUGCAAGUCGAGCGAACAGACGAGGAGCUUGCUCCUCUGACGUUAGCGGCGGACGGGUGAGUAACACGUGGAUAACCUACCUAUAAGACUGGGAUAACUUCGGGAAACCGGAGCUAAUACCGGAUAAUAUAUUGAACCGCAUGGUUCAAUAGUGAAAGACGGUUUUGCUGUCACUUAUAGAUGGAUCCGCGCCGCAUUAGCUAGUUGGUAAGGUAACGGCUUACCAAGGCAACGAUGCGUAGCCGACCUGAGAGGGGGAUCGGCCACGUUGGAACUGAGACACGGUCCAGACUCCUACGGGAGGCAGCAGUAGGGAAUCUUCCGCAAUGGGCGAAAGCUUGACGGAGCAACGCCGCGUGAGUGAUGAAGGUCUUCGGAUCGUAAAACUCUGUUAUUAGGGAAGAACAAAUGUGUAAGUAACUAUGCACGUCUUGACGGUACCUAAUCAGAAAGCCACGGCUAACUACGUG